UGUGUCAUGGGUUGUCACAUGAAAGCCCUCCUUCCGGCCGAUUUACAGAGGAAUCCGCCCGCAUUUCCUUCCACCGUUUUAUUUGUUUAUUUUUUUUAAGGUUUUUAUUUAUUUAUCCAUGAGAGGCACAGAGAGAGAGAGAGGCAGAGACACAGGCAGAGGGAGCAGCAGGCUCCCGGCGGGGAGCGGGAUGCGGGACUUGAUCCUGGGACCCCGGGGUCACGGCCUGGGCCGCAGGUGGCUGCUCAUCCGCUGGGCCCCCCGGGCGCCCCUCCCUCCAGCGCCUUUGUGGUUCUGCGCUCAUAUGCGUCGGCAGAGGACAGACAGAGAGGGGACACAAAGCCGAGCGUCUAUAUGGGGUCUCAGAAUUGCAGCUCAGGAACAAGCUGAGUCUCCUAAGAGCUUAGGGAGUUUUGAAGACAACGGGGCAUGUUUGCAAAUGCUGCUGAGGAAGAAUCUGGUAGGUGCUGGCACCGAGAAGCCGGGCGGGCCCAACAGGAUUGAUGGGCACAGGGGCUAGACCUGUAAGCAGCAACGGAGAUCCAUACACGUUUCCUGCGUUGAGCGACGCCGAGGAAGAUGAGGCUCCUUCCUUGACGAUGGGUCAGCAGCGCUGGGGAGAGGCGGUAAAGCACAGCACCCCGCAGGAAGGCUCCCCCCGCCUGCGCAGGCGGCCGCCGGGCGAGGUCCCCUCCCGCCAGGGCGAGGGCCCCGAGCCCUGG